CCAUGAUCCAAUGCUUAUAAAAAAUUCAGUUCUCUUUAUGUCAGAGUUUCUUCAUGGGUUAAAUUAUCAUCUUCUGAUUUUGAACAUGACAGAUUAGUGUGCCAGUUGCAUCACAUCAUCUAUGUGGAUGUGUAGAGAGGUGAACAUAUCAGUAAAAAACGAUGUUCAGUAUGUAGUGUCAUUAACACGCAGGCAUGUUUGUCCUGUAGUGGAGGGCGGUCAGCGAGCGAUCAUCUUCAACAGAAUUGGUGGAAUGCAGAUGGACACUGUCCUGUCUGUGUGGCUACACUUCAGGAUACCAUGGUUUCAGUACCCCAUUAUAUAUGAUACCACACAAAACCACACAAGAUUUCCUCUUUGACUGGAAGUAAAGAUGGUGAACAUUGUGCUGCAACCUUCCCCACAUGUACCAGCAUCUGGGGAAGGACUAUGAUGAACAUGUCCUUCCUUCCAUAGUCAAUGAGGUCUUAAAGAGUGUUGUAGCCAAAUUCAAUGCCUCACAGCUCAUGACGCAAAGAGUUCAGAUGUUUCAAUACCUUUGGUAAGCAGUUUCCUACUCAAGUAUUUGCUGAGAUGAUGAAAAGUUUUGUGGGAGACACUUCACAGGGGUCAUCAGGUGGGCACCUCCCUUCUCAGAUGUUUUGUUGAUUUAAGGCCAUUCAGGGGUUACAGCUAAUAUCACACAAACGUGUCAGCCUACUGCAAACUUACGUUGUUUUUUAGUGAACAUGGCAGAAGGAAAAUGAAGUUAAACCAAGAAUGACGCAAUCUCAUAGGCUGAUUAAAUUGCGCGUUAUAAUGUCAGCUAGAGCCAGUGUAGGGUUUCACUUUCACAUAUAUACCACAAAAAUAUUAGUAGUUUUCUCUAAAUAACUUUGUGUUACAUAAUGUCAUUGCAUUGCUGUGAAACUCACUGUUGUAGUGUUCAUUUAGAGCUGUGUGGGUUAAUCAUAGACAUAGUAUUUUAUUGCAGAGACACUAAACACAGAGAACACACUGUUAUUAAAGUGUCAUUGUUAUUUAGUGGGAUCACAUGUAAUGAUACGAAAAAAAGAACAAGAUGUGGGAAAUGUUCACUCUGACAUUGCUUUCACUCCCAGUUGUUUAGUUAUUUGUUUACUUCAGCCAUGAAUUUCAUGUAGAGGUAUCUGACCCUACCUGUACUCUCUGAGAUCAGGUUUCAUUUCUGAUUUGUUGGGAGCUGUUUGAACGUGCUAAAAACUUCAACAUCAUCCUUGAUGACGUAGCCAUCACAGAGCUGAGCUUCAGCAAAGAGUACACAGCAGCUGUAGAGGCCAAACAAGGUGGUGUGUAACACACUGAUACACACAACAACAGCUUUUUAUUCGCACAUGUAGUGAGAUAUACAGUGUAAAGGCUUGCCUGUUCAAGAUUAAGCUGGUCUUGUUGUCCUCUAGCCCAACAGGAAGCACAGUGAGCUCAGUUCUUUGUGGAAAAAGCUAAGCAGGACAAAGCUGAAGGAGAGGCCCAAGCAGCCAAAAUGAUUGUCACUAAACAAAAAGAAGUAAGCUGUCCAGAAAACGUUUUCAUUCUGUGUGUAUGAGGUUGUGUGUGUGCAGUGACCUCUACUUCUGCAGGGAUCAUGUUCUUCAGGUGCCACUUUCUGUGUUUCCGAGGAAUUAAUCCAGUAAUCACUUUUAAAUUCAUUACACACGUUUGUCAGUACAAAUUCAACAAGAUUUUUUAAUGAAGUUCACUCAUGGUUCUUUUAGAUCAUUGUCAACUGUAUAUUGCAGUUCUAUGCAACACAGAGAUCUUUUAUGAAAUUCUUAGUUUAAUGCCCCCACCCCACCACCACUUUGCUGCCAUCAAAUGUAUCAUAGUAAUAUUCAUACGAUCACAAUCCACCAAUUUUCUAAAAAUUACCCAAUGUCUUCAGUGUAACCCUGUGAGACUUAAUCAUGAAAGGACAGCGAAA